rnacentral:rRNA from 1 species
UACGUAGGGUGCAAGCGUUGUCCGGAAUUAUUGGGCGUAAAGAGCUCGUAGGCGGUCUGUCGCGUCGGCUGUGAAAACCCGGAGCUCAACUCCGGGCCUGCAGUCGAUACGGGCAGACUGGAGUUCGGCAGGGGAGACUGGAAUUCCUGGUGUAGCGGUGAAAUGCGCAGAUAUCAGGAGGAACCCCGGUGGCGAAGGCGGGUCUCUGGGCCGAUACUGACGCUGAGGAGCGAAAGCGUGGGAGCGAACAGG